CAGCCGCCGCGGUAAUACAGAGGGUGCGAGCGUUAAUCGGAUUUACUGGGCGUAAAGCGUGCGUAGGCGGCUUCUUAAGUCGGAUGUGAAAUCCCUGAGCUUAACUUAGGAAUUGCAUUCGAUACUGGUUAGCUAGAGUGUGGGAGAGGAUGGUAGAAUUCCAGGUGUAGCGGUGAAAUGCGUAGAGAUCUGGAGGAAUACCGAUGGCGAAGGCAGCCAUCUGGCCUAACACUGACGCUGAGGUACGAAAGCAUGGGGAGCAAACAGGAUUAGAUACCCGCGUAGUCCCUGUCUCUUAUAC
rnacentral:rRNA from 1 species